rnacentral:rRNA from 1 species
UUCCGUAGGGGUGAACCUGCGGAGGGAUCAUUACACAAUAAAAUACGAAGGCCGUUCGCGGCUGGACUAUUUAUUACCCUUGUCUUUUGCGCACUUGUUGUUUCCUGGGCGGGUUCGCUCGCCACCAGGACCACAAUAUAAACCUUUUUUAUGCAGUUGCAAUCAGCGUCAGUAUAACAAAUGUAAAUCAUUUACAACUUUCAACAACGGAUCUCUUGGUUCUGGCAUCGAUGAAGAACGCAGCGAAAUGCGAUACGUAGUGUGAAUUGCAGAAUUCAGUGAAUCAUCGAAUCUUUGAACGCACAUUGCGCCCUUUGGUAUUCCAAAGGGCAUGCCUGUUCGAGCGUCAUUUGUACCCUCAAGCUUUGCUUGGUGUUGGGCGUUUUUGUCUUUGGCCCGCCAAAGACUCGCCUUAAAAUGAUUGGCAGCCGGCCUACUGGUUUCGCAGCGCAGCACAUUUUUGCGCUUGCAAUCAGCAAAAGAGGACGGCAAUCCAUCAAGACUCCUUCUCACGUUUGACCUCGGAUCAGGU